GCUUCUCGCUGGAGUGCGCACCGAGCGGCAGUGACUUCGCCGCUGCUGUAGUUCCCCGGCUGGAUGCGGUGACUGGUGCCAGUGCUCAGGCGCCCGCUGCCCUUGACCUCCCGCCCCGCGAGCCCUAACUCAGCGCAGGAGGACCGGCUGCCGCCGCCGCCGCCGCCAGAGCCUUGGCUGCCCAGUUGCCAGUCCUACCACGGUCGGAGGUAACCUUCCUGGCUCCAGUCACAUGGCCAGAUAAGGUGGUGUGUGUGGGCAUGAAUUAUGUGGACCACUGCAAAGAACAGAACGUGCCCGUGCCCAAGGAGCCCAUCAUCUUCAGCAAGUUUGCCAGCUCCAUCGUGGGGCCCUAUGAUGAGGUGGUCCUCCCACCACAGAGCCAGGCCACAGAUGCCAUGGCCCACGUGGCCGGCUUCACUGUGGCUCAUGACGUGAGUGCUCGUGACUGGCUAACAAGAUGCAAUGGGAAACAGUGGCUGCUGGGAAAAACCUUCGACACCUUCUGCCCUCUGGGCCCUGCCUUGGUGACCAAGGACAGUGUAGCAGAUCCACACAACUUAAAGAUCUGCUGUCGAGUGAAUGGGGAAGUGGUCCAGAGCAGCAACACCAACCAGAUGGUAUUCAAGACAGAGGACCUGAUAGCCUGGGUGUCCCAGUUUGUUACCUUUUACCCAGGGGAUGUCAUCCUGACUGGGACCCCCCCACCUCCACCCAGGUGUCGGUGUAUUCAGGAAACCUCCUGUCUUUCUCAAGGUCUCUGAAGGUCCAGACAGCACUGAUGGCGAGCUUUGGGUCCGCACACUCUGGAAAGAAGAGAGAAGUGAAGGCUCUAGGUAGGGAGAACAGAGAGCCACUGGGCACAGGCUUCUCUCCUCUUGUUUAAAGAAGCCCAGGGAGGGAUAGAGCUCUGACUGGACAGAAGACUGUACUCUGCAGCCUGCCUUCCUAGAGUUGGGUUGUCACUGUCCUGCAGGGGGCAGCAGCCACCAGCAAACACCACUGCCUGCAGGAGCCUGGGCUGACUGGUUGGGACUCACCGAAGAUCCCUUCUUCCUGGGCGGUGGCCUGCAGGAACUGGAACAGCUGCUCUGUGUAGCCCAACUCUGCAGAAGAGAGAAGACCUAGACCUGGCACCCAGCACAGACACAGCCUGCCUCGAGGACUGCAAGGGAACAAGGGCCUCACCAGUAUCGGGCAGCUGGCCCUGGCGGAGGAAGGCGGCAGCCUGUGCAAAGGCCUUGAGCAGCGGGCUGAGCAGGCGGCAGAGGAAAAGAAAGAAAUCUGGGCAGUGUGACUGCUGGCUGAGCUGGAGGGGACAGGCCGGGGUGAGUGCAGCUCCCCACCGCCUCCCUACCACCUCCCUCCAGGGGCAGCUUUUUGAAACACACCCUGAAGUACCGGCCGUCAGCCUCUCCGAAGUCAUCACUGUCACUAUCAGUAAAGUCCCCACUCGGUUUCCACA
rnacentral:lncRNA from 1 species